rnacentral:rRNA from 1 species
GGCUACACACGUGCUACAAUGGGUAGUACAGAGAGUCGCAAAGCCGUGAGGUAGAGCUAAUCUCAGCAAAACUAUUCUUAGUUCGGAUUGUACUCUGCAACUCGAGUACAUGAAGUUGGAAUCGCUAGUAAUCGCAAAUCAGCAAUGUUGCGGUGAAUACGUUCUCGGGUCUUGUACACACCGCCCGUCACACCACGAGAGUUGGUUGCACCUGAAGUAGCAGGCCUAACCGUAAGGAGGGAUGCUCCGAGGGUGUGAUUAGCGAUUGGGGUGAAGUCGUAACAAGGUAUCCGUACGGGAACGU